UACGUAGGGUGCAAGCGUUGUCCGGAAUUAUUGGGCGUAAAGAGCUUGUAGGCGGUUUGUCGCGUCUGCUGUGAAAUUUCGGGGCUCAACCCCGAACUUGCAGUGGGUACGGGCAGACUAGAGUGUGGUAGGGGAGACUGGAAUUCCUGGUGUAGCGGUGAAAUGCGCAGAUAUCAGGAGGAACACCGAUGGCGAAGGCAGGUCUCUGGGCCGUAACUGACGCUGAGAAGCGAAAGCAUGGGGAGCGAACAGG
rnacentral:rRNA from 1 species